UCAAGUAAGAGGACAGGCUAGGCUUUGCUUCAUGGGUACUGGGUAUUGCAAGGGUUAAGUUAUCCAAGCAGGAAUCCAGAGACCCAAAGUCAAAUUCCACAACUGCAGCUGUGGAAUUGAAACUUGAUUAGUACUGUACGACUUGGAACAAAAACAACUGGGGGACAUCUCCCUCUGCCUUGCCAGGGAGAGAGGGAACCUUUGGAUUGCUGAAUGCCGGAUGAAUUGCGAUAGUCUUUGGGUAAACUGCAAGAUUUCAGGAUUCACAAUAUUUUAAUUUUCAAUAUUAAAGCAAGAUUAUCGCAAGUAAACAGGAAGAAAAUACCUCGUCUAUAAAACUUUAGCAGUUACCUUGUAAAGUACAGGAACCAUCAUAGAAGGAAUGCAAUUAAAAUGGCUGAGCCGUUGUCAACUAAUACUCAUACUACUGGCUGAAGGUACUAAAGCCAUACUAGUACCACAACUAUGCCGUGCGUUUGCAAAUCAUCUAGACCUUGGGAUUAAAGUUGUGUACCCAAUGAUGGGUAGUACUGCAAACAGCAUAGAUGAGGGCUUCUAUCAUGAAGAGAUUCUAACAGAUUAAAUCAAUGGUCAAAACAGUGAUACAGCACACUACUAGGCUUUUCCGACCCAAUAAGCCCUUGCCACCCAAUCACAGCCACGUGACCAAUAAACCUAUUGACAAAUGUCUUUGGAAUGUGGAAGGAAGGCGGAGCACCCGGAGUAAACCCACUCAGUCAUGUGCAGAAUGUACUAACUCCUUACAGAUAACAGUGGGAAUUGAACCUGGGUUACCGGCUCUGUAACAGCAUUUACACUAACUGCUAUGUCUCUGUGUUGCCCCAGGACAUCUUCUACUUAGUGUUUUCUUCAGCCCUGAAACACUACUCCAGUCCACUUUUCAGAGACACUGCCUCUUGCUGAUUGUUUGCAGCAUUUUCUAUUUUUAUUUUACUUCAGCCCUCUGUGGCUUCUUGAUCAGACUUGUCUGUAGGACCUCCUUAGCUGCCCGUCACUUUCACCAGAAUGUCAAGAUCAGGAUCAAAACUCACUCCCGUGCCUGUGAUGGUACCAUUGUUGUCGCUGCACCCCAAAUGAACUGGGUGUUCUGACAGUGGCUGGAUUCAGUGACAAUCUCCCAUUUAAGAAGUGCAGGAAUGACAACAAUUAAUAUAAAUUUAUUUUGGCAGAUGUGCAGGACUCCUGAAGUCACUAAUGUUUAGCAUCCACCAGUGUGGAAACAUAUUUUGCAUACAUUCCCUAGUCACUCAAAAAUUGCACAUUAACAGCUUGAGAAUAAAUAAAAGGCACGUAGAGCACUACAGUACAGGCCCUUCUGUCCAUGAUGUUGGCUGGCUUUUAUAACCACUCCAAGAUCAAUCUAACCCUUCCCUCCUACAUAACUCUCCAUUUUUUUGAUCAUCCAUGUGGCUAGUUUUGAGUUGCUUAAAUGUCCCUAAUUCAUUAAUUUGCAAUGUUUUAAAAAAAGUUUUUAAUAUGUUCAAGAUAAAACAAUGUUCAAGACAUCACUAUGUUCUCAGAAAUAAUUAAUAGUCCAUUGAUUACAAGCAACUUUAUUUUUUUUUCUUUUCAUCCUUCAGGAAAGAAAUAACAUUGUAAAUACAUAUGCUCUUUGUACACACUAACAAUUAAAAGAUCAGGCAGAAAAACUAAAGGAUAUUACACCUGUAAAUAGUUACGAUGAAUUUGAAGUUACAGUAAAGAAAAGCUCUUUGUUUUCAUUUCCUUUACAACUGUGGCUCAGUCUGAAAAGUAUUAUUAUUAUUAUAGUCACUCCAAUAGAUCAAUAUAUCAAAAUCACGGAUGCAGAACAGGAAGACAACUUUUCAUAAAAUACAAAUAUAUGUACUGAGUGAGUCAAAUAAUA